GAUGAACGCUGGCGGCGUGCCUAAUACAUGCAAGUCGAGCGAACGGACGAGAAGCUUGCUUCUCUGAUGUUAGCGGCGGACGGGUGAGUAACACGUGGAUAACCUACCUAUAAGACUGGGAUAACUUCGGGAAACCGGAGCUAAUACCGGAUAAUAUUUUGAACCGCAUGGUUCAAAAGUGAAAGACGGUCUUGCUGUCACUUAUAGAUGGAUCCGCGCUGCAUUAGCUAGUUGGUAAGGUAACGGCUUACCAAGGCAACGAUGCAUAGCCGACCUGAGAGGGUGAUCGGCCACACUGGAACUGAGACACGGUCCAGACUCCUACGGGAGGCAGCAGUAGGGAAUCUUCCGCAAUGGGCGAAAGCCUGACGGAGCAACGCCGCGUGAGUGAUGAAGGUCUUCGGAUCGUAAAACUCUGUUAUUAGGGAAGAACAUAUGUGUAAGUAACUGUGCACAUCUUGACGGUACCUAAUCAGAAAGCCACGGCUAACUACGUGCCAGCAGCCGCGGUAAUACGUAGGUGGCAAGCGUUAUCCGGAAUCAUUGGGCGUAAAGCGCGCGUAGGCGGUUUUUUAAGUCUGAUGUGAAAGCCCACGGCUCAACCGUGGAGGGUCAUUGGAAACUGGAAAACUUGAGUGCAGAAGAGGAAAGUGGAAUUCCAUGUGUAGCGGUGAAAUGCGCAGAGAUAUGGAGGAACACCAGUGGCGAAGGCGACUUUCUGGUCUGUAACUGACGCUGAUGUGCGAAAGCGUGGGGAUCAAACAGGAUUAGAUACCCUGGUAGUCCACGCCGUAAACGAUGAGUGCUAAGUGUUAGGGGGUUUCCGCCCCUUAGUGCUGCAGCUAACGCAUUAAGCACUCCGCCUGGGGAGUACGACCGCAAGGUUGAAACUCAAAGGAAUUGACGGGGACCCGCACAAGCGGUGGAGCAUGUGGUUUAAUUCGAAGCAACGCGAAGAACCUUACCAAAUCUUGACAUCCUUUGACAACUCUAGAGAUAGAGCCUUCCCCUUCGGGGGACAAAGUGACAGGUGGUGCAUGGUUGUCGUCAGCUCGUGUCGUGAGAUGUUGGGUUAAGUCCCGCAACGAGCGCAACCCUUAAGCUUAGUUGCCAUCAUUAAGUUGGGCACUCUAAGAUGACUGCCGGUGACAAACCGGAGGAAGGUGGGGAUGACGUCAAAUCAUCAUGCCCCUUAUGAUUUGGGCUACACACGUGCUACAAUGGACAAUACAAAGGGCAGCGAAACCGCGAGGUCAAGCAAAUCCCAUAAAGUUGUUCUCAGUUCGGAUUGUAGUCUGCAACUCGACUACAUGAAGCUGGAAUCGCUAGUAAUCGUAGAUCAGCAUGCUACGGUGAAUACGUUCCCGGGUCU
rnacentral:rRNA from 1 species